GUCAGAGUGGUGUACCUUUACUGCCUGUCCUGACCGAGUAAGAGCAUGUAUACACCCCACCAGCUGGAGUCUUAAAUCUUGGCUUGACUAUAAUUCCCUGUCUACAGACACAGAUUGGUAUCUUCAAUCCUAGGAUGAACAACAACAACGAAAAAAACAAAUUAAAGGAAUAAAACUCACAGAUACCUAAGAAAAUUAAGAAUGGUGGAAAUAAUGCGCUCUCGGAAAGAAGAGGAAGGGGAGGCAGAAACAGAAGGAGACCACUCAGAAUACAGAUUUGGAGAAAAGACCGUAUCAAUGGCCACAACUCAAUUGAUUCUGGGGAAGGUGGAAUGUAUGGGGAAAAAAAAGAAACAAUUUGACCAGCAAGCAA